GUCCUUUUCCGGUUCAUAAGUAUGAUUGGGUCUUCAGCGUCUGUGUGCUAUGUGCCUCCCUUAAUCCUUGUUGCGACGUUGGCACAUUACCCAUCUGACA
ensembl:snoRNA